AGUGAACGCUGGCGGUAGGCCUAACACAUGCAAGUCGGACGGCAGCACAGGAGAGCUUGCUCUCUGGGUGGCGAGUGGCGGACGGGUGAGGAAUACAUCGGAAUCUACUCUGUCGUGGGGGAUAACGUAGGGAAACUUACGCUAAUACCGCAUACGACCUACGGGUGAAAGCAGGGGAUCUUCGGACCUUGCGCGAUUGAAUGAGCCGAUGUCGGAUUAGCUAGUUGGCGGGGUAAAGGCCCACCAAGGCGACGAUCCGUAGCUGGUCUGAGAGGAUGAUCAGCCACACUGGAACUGAGACACGGUCCAGACUCCUACGGGAGGCAGCAGUGGGGAAUAUUGGACAAUGGGCGCAAGCCUGAUCCAGCCAUACCGCGUGGGUGAAGAAGGCCUUCGGGUUGUAAAGCCCUUUUGUUGGGAAAGAAAUCCAGCUGGUUAAUACCCGGUUGGGAUGACGGUACCCAAAGAAUAAGCACCGGCUAACUUCGUGCCAGCAGCCGCGGUAAUACGAAGGGUGCAAGCGUUACUCGGAAUUACUGGGCGUAAAGCGUGCGUAGGUGGUUAUUUAAGUCCGUUGUGAAAGCCCUGGGCUCAACCUGGGAACUGCAGUGGAUACUGGAUGACUAGAAUGUGGUAGAGGGUAGCGGAAUUCCUGGUGUAGCAGUGAAAUGCGUAGAGAUCAGGAGGAACAUCCAUGGCGAAGGCAGCUACCUGGACCAACAUUGACACUGAGGCACGAAAGCGUGGGGAGCAAACAGG
rnacentral:rRNA from 1 species